CCACGGACAGCGCCUGAAAGAAGGCUUAUGGAGAGGACCAGUCUCUCUCGCUCGCUCUCUCGUUCUCUCUCUCUCUCUCUCUCUCUCUCGUGAGGUGCUUUGAAAUGCGCGAGUCUAUAUCUCAGAGGGUUACGGCUUACAUCAAGAUCCUCAGGAUAAAAAGUGCGCGCGACUAAACGAACGCCUCAGAGCGGUUUACUGUAAAGAGCAAGAGAUUAACACAACAUCAACACCAUGCAGGCUGAUGGGAAGGGGAUGGACGGUGGCCUGCUGCCUGAUGCCAAUGGGAUGGAGCCCAGCCCGGGAGAACGGAGGGGGAGGACAGAGGGAAAUGGCAGAAGCCCCAGAUCAGCCGUAAAUCUCUGAUGAAGUGCUGCCUCGUCAAAUGGAUCAUCGACAGCACAACAAAUGCACAGGGGCCAGAUACAGAGAGCAAUGAAAGCCUGUCUACAGAUGAAGAGGUACCAAUGAAGAGCAGUGGUUCUCAGUCCUGGUCCUGGGGACUCAAAGGGGUGCACAUUUUUGUUUUUGCCUUAGCACUACACAGCUGAUUCAAAUGAUCAACUCAUCAUCAAGCUUCAAGGGGUAUUUAUGUAUUAAUGUGUGAUGCUAUCCUUGAUAUGAUCCUGCUGUUGUCACAUGCUACACAUGCAUCUAUCAAUCCAAUGUAAUCAUGAUUUGUUAUAAGAGAUAUUAUACUUCAGUAAUCCACAAUGACCUAGUGAUGUAAAUGUCUAAUAACGACAUUAUCUUCCAUAUU